rnacentral:misc_RNA from 1 species
UGUGGGAGCUGGCUUGCCAGCGAUAGCGGUGUAUCAGGCAACAGAGAUACUGCUGAUUUGGCCCCAUCGCUGGCAAGCCAGCUCCCACA